rnacentral:rRNA from 2 species
CCUACGGGUGGCUGCAGUGGGGAAUAUUGGACAAUGGGGGAAACCCUGAUCCAGCCAUGCCGCGUGAGUGAUGAAGGCCUUAGGGUUGUAAAGCUCUUUUGUCAGGGAAGAUGAUGACGGUACCUGAAGAAUAAGCACCGGCUAACUUCGUGCCAGCAGCCGCGGUAAUACGAAGGGUGCUAGCGUUGUUCGGAAUCACUGGGCGUAAAGCGCGCGUAGGCGGCUUUUCAAGUCAGAGGUGAAAUCCCCAGGCUCAACCUGGGAAUUGCCUUUGAAACUGGGAAGCUGGAGUAUUGGAGGGGAUAGCGGAAUUGCUAAUGUAGAGGUGAAAUUCGUAGAUAUUAGCAGGAACACCGGUGGCGAAGGCGGCUAUCUGGACAAUUACUGACGCUGAAGUGCGAAAGCGUGGGGAUCAAACAGGAUUAGAUACCCCUGUAGUC